rnacentral:rRNA from 1 species
AUUGAACGCUGGCGGCAUGCCUUACACAUGCAAGUCGAACGGCAGCACGGGUGCAUGCACCUGGUGGCGAGUGGCGAACGGGUGAGUAAUAUAUCGGAACGUACCUUAUUGUGGGGGAUAACGCAGCGAAAGCUGUGCUAAUACCGCAUAAUCCCUAAGGGGGAAAGCGGGGGACCGUAAGGCCUCGCGCAAUUAGAGCGGCCGAUACCCGAUUAGCUAGUUGGUGAGGUAAAGGCUCACCAAGGCAACGAUCAGUAGCUGGUCUGAGAGGACGAUCAGCCACACUGGGACUGAGACACGGCCCAGACUCCUACGGGAGGCAGCAGUGGGGAAUUUUGGACAAUGGGGGCAACCCUGAUCCAGCAAUGCCGCGUGAGUGAAGAAGGCCUUCGGGUUGUAAAGCUCUUUUGUCAGGGAAGAAACAGCAGCUCUAACACAGUUUGCGAAUGACGGUACCUGAAGAAUAAGCACCGGCUAACUACGUGCCAGCAGCCGCCGUAA